rnacentral:rRNA from 1 species
AUUGAACGCUGGCGGCAUGCUUUACACAUGCAAGUCGAACGGCAGCGCGGGCUUCGGCCUGGCUGCGAGUGGCGAACGGGUGAGUAAUGCAUCGGAACGUGCCCAGUAGUGGGGGAUAGCCCGGCGAAAGCCGGAUUAAUACCGCAUACGACCUGAGGGUGAAAGCGGGGGACCGAAAGGCCUCGCGCUCUUGGAGCGGCCGAUGUCGGAUUAGCUAGUUGGUGGGGUAAAGGCUUACCAAGGCGACGAUCCGUAGCUGGUCUGAGAGGACGACCAGCCACACUGGGACUGAGACACGGACCAGACUCCUACGGGAGGCAGCAGUGGGGAAUUUUGGACAAUGGGGGCAACCCUGAUCCAGCCAUGCCGCGUGCGGGAAGAAGGCCUUCGGGUUGUAAACCGCUUUUGUUCGGGAAGAAAUCCUCUGGGCUAAUACCCCGGGGGGAUGACGGUACCGGAAGAAUAAGCACCGGCUAACUACGUG